rnacentral:lncRNA from 1 species
UUUUGUUGGUAGCCCUGUCCCCUAGAAACUAAGAGCUUCGCUCUCAGAGGCAUCCCGUUUACAUGACGAUUUGUGUCAUGCUGCUUUUGCCGAACUUUCCAGAAGGAGCAAAAGAAUGUGACCUUCACCAGCUCUGGGCAGGGCUAUCUGGCUGUGAAAGGACAUCAGCUACGCAGGGUUGCACUGCCUAGGUCAUGUCCGGAAAAACCAAGGUCCCACUUCUCCUGCCCAAACCUGCAGGUGUGAUAUCACUUUCCAGCAGGAGGCCCCUGGUGGGCAGAGGGAAGUUAUCUGCCCUGGGUAAUAAACAGGAGGUAUCUGCCCCAGAAAAGCAAGGCUCCACCCCAGGUCUCCUGCCAUUUGCCCUCAGGCCUGGACUAAGCACUGGGAUGCCUCUUCAUGGAGUUCAUCAGCAUCUGAAAGCCAGCGCAGCUCUCAGGGCGUCUCAGCAACACAGAGUAAUUCCAGCUUCUGCCUCACUGUCCCCAGUGCUCCUGCAUAGGCACCACAGCUCUCUGGGAUGUCCCAGGAGGACUCUGCUUGCUAUAGACUUGGUACAUUCUCCCUGGAAGAUUAAUGUCAUCCACGGGGACUUCACAAGUGACGCUGUCAUCCUCGCCCUCAGACUCUGAACUGUGCUCUGACCUGUCUUGGGAACGCUUUGAACCGUCCUCUUCUUUUCAAUCUGCCUCAUUCAUCUCAAGUAAGCCCACAUCCACUUGUACAACUUGGUCCAGGGGCCCUUCAAUACUUUCAAUAUUGAAAUGAUCAGGGGGAACAGCUUCCAUUUGGUAGCUUCUCAGUUGCCUGGGCCAUCCAUGGGAGAAAGUCCUAACCUUCGCCUAGAAAUGGACUCCUCUCUACUGGAACUGUUUGAAGAGUAGGGGUUUUUCAGGAAGCAGGUUUGGGGUUCAGGGGCAACUUGUCCCACAGACCUCCUAGGCCGUGGCACACAGUCAGCAGCACUUUGAACACCGAGCCCUGCGAGCACUCCCUAGUGAGUGCUGAGGGAUGCGGCAUGGACCUCCAUGUGUAUAGCCACCAUGCCAGGCUACUACUCUUAACUUGCUUCCUAGGGGACCCCUGCAGGCACCUGGGGGGAACCUGCCCCAGUCUGCAAGCUCCUUCUAGGACAAGGGCAGUGGGUGGCUCAGAAGUGCAUUGCAAGUAGGUAAGUAUGUGCUUUUGAUGAUAAGGAAGAU